UCCGUGGAAUCACUAAAACCCAGGAAGUCACGUGGUGCACUUGCCUGUGUGCACUGUGCAGUGAUGGAGGAGCCUGCAGACAUGAGUAGAGGAGCAGCCACACCACAGGCACAGAGUGCUGCUGCAUCCUCUGACCGUUGGACCAACUCCUGCAUGAAGAAAGAAGCCAGCCAGAGACGCUCUCACGUGAUAUAUUAAGCCCCUUGUAACUUUUGACCCGGAAUAGAAUGGUAGGGUCAGGAGACUGUGCAGAAUGCAACAGACGGAAAGCUGCAGACAUUCACAUACAGCUAUGGAAACAAAGCAUUGUAAUGUCACUUCUUUCAACAUGUGUAUUAUACAAUAUUAAUGAACAUUCACAAUAAAAUGUUUUGUCCUUUUAUCAACAAGUUGAUAUUUGAAACUCUAUAAAGUAAGUAGUUAAUCUCUGUUAGAUUUUGCCAUAUACUGCAUGUACAUA